GUGAAUCAUCAAAUCUUUGAACGCAAAUUGCACUUUCUGGUAUUCUGGAAAGUAUGCCUGUUUGAGGGUCAUUUAAAUCAUCAUGGGUGUUGUUGCUGUUUUUGGUGGUGACGCGUCGGAAUUGAGUUGUGUUACCUUAUGUUAAGUGACUUAAACUGUUGCAUGAUUUUCGAAGGUAUUUAAAUUUCUUACGUAGGAUUGAGGUAUCGCAUACUUUUUUAGGUUCGGUCAUUCUAAUGUUUCGUAGUUAUAAUUUUUGAUUAAAUGAC
rnacentral:misc_RNA from 1 species